rnacentral:rRNA from 1 species
UACGUAGGUGGCAAGCGUUGUCCGGAUUUACUGGGCGUAAAGAGCGCGCAGGUGGUCGUUCAAGUCGCGUGUGAAAGCCCCCGGCUCAACUGGGGAGGGUCACGCGAUACUGAUCGACUCGAAGGCAGGAGAGGGUAGUGGAAUUCCCCGGUGUAGUGGUGAAAUGCGUAGAUAUCGGGAGGAACACCAGUGGCGAAGGCGACUACCUGGCCUUGUUCUACGCUGAGGCGCGAAAGCUAGGGGAGCAAACGGG